rnacentral:rRNA from 1 species
AGUGAACGCUGGCGGCGUGCCUAAUACAUGCAAGUCGAACGGAGUGGCGCACGGGCGAGUAAUGUAUAGCCAAUCUGCCCUACACUAGAGGACAACAGUUGGAAACGGCUGCUAAUACUCUAUAGUGUAGGAUGAGGCUAUAUUGUAUCAGCUAGAUGGUGAGGUAAUGGCGCACCAAGGCUAUGACGCAUAACUGGUCUGAGAGGAUGAUCAGUCACGCAGGAGCUGAGACACGGUCCAGACGCCUACGGGAGGCAGCGGUAGGGAGUGUUGCUCAAUGGGGGAGGCCCUGAAGCAGCAACGCCGCGUGGAGGAUGACACUUUUCGGGGCGUAAACUCCUUUUGUUAGGGAGGCGUUACCUAACGAAUAAGCACCGGCUAACUCCGUGCCAGCAGCCGCGGUAAUUC